rfam:Triticum urartu cultivar G1812 contig562324, whole genome shotgun sequence.
UCUCUACUCCCUUUGUUCUAAAUUACUUGACCCAUAUUUAUUUAGACACGGAUGUAUCUAAACACUAAAUAAGUAUAGAUACAUCCAUAUUUAGAUAAAUUCAAGUCAACUAAUUUAGAAUGAAGGGAGUAUAUG